rnacentral:rRNA from 1 species
CGUAGGGUGCAAGCGUUGUCCGGAAUUAUUGGGCGUAAAGGGCUCGUAGGCGGUCCGUCACGUCGGGAGUGAAAACUUGGGGCUCAACCCCAAGCUUGCUUUCGAUACGGGCGGACUAGAGGUAGGCAGGGGAGAACGGAAUUCCUGGUGUAGCGGUGGAAUGCGCAGAUAUCAGGAGGAACACCGGUGGCGAAGGCGGUUCUCUGGGCCUUACCUGACGCUGAGGAGCGAAAGCGUGGGGAGCGAACAGGAUUAGAUACCCUGGUAGUCCACGCCGUAAACGUUGGGCGCUAGGUGUGGGACUCAUUCCACGAGUUCCGUGCCGCAGCUAACGCAUUAAGCGCCCCGCCUGGGGAGUACGGCCGCAAGGCUA